AUGUGUCUGUCUAUCCCUGUUCUCUCCUCUCUGCACAGGCCAUACAAACGCUUCACACCGCGUGGCCGCUGCCACUCCAACCUGGUGGUCCCAGCGCGCACGACCCACGUGGAGUUCCAGGUCUCCGGCAGCCUCUGGAACUGCCGGUCUGCAGCCAACAAGGCUGAGUUCAUCUCAGCCUAUGCUACCCUCCAGUCCCUAGACUUCCUGGCGCUGACGGAAACAUGGAUUACCACAGAUAACACUGCUACUCCUACUGCUCUCUCUUCGUCUGCCCACGUGUUCUCGCAUACCCCUAGAGCAUCGAGCCAGCGGGGUGGUGGCACUGGAAUCCUCAUCUCUCCCAAGUGGACAUUCUCUCUUUCUCCCCUGACCCAUCUGUCUAUCUCCUCAUUUGAAUUCCAUGCUGUCACAGUUACCAGCCCUUUCAAGCUUAACAUCCUUAUCAUUUAUCGCCCUCCAGGUUCCCUUGGAGAGUUCAUCAAUGAGCUUGACGCCUUGAUAAGUUCCUUUCCUGAGGAUGGCUCACCUCUCACAGUUCUGGGUGACUUUAACCUCCCCACGUCUACCUUUGACUCAUUCCUCUCUGCCUCCUUCUUUCCACUCCUCUCCUCUUUUGACCUCACCCUCUCACCUUCCCCCCCUACUCACAAGGCAGGCAAUACGCUUGACCUCAUCUUUACUAGAUGCUGUUCUUCCACUAAUCUCAUUGCAACUCCCCUCCAAAUCUCCGACCACUACCUUGUAUCCUUUUCCCUCUUGCUCUCAUCCAACACUUCUCACUCUGCCCCUACUCGGAUGGUAUUGCGCCGUCCCAACCUUCGCUCUCUCUCUCCCGCUACUCUCUCCUCUUCCAUCCUAUCAUCUCUUCCCUCUGCUCAAACCUUCUCCAACCUAUCUCCUGAUUCUGCCUCCUCAACCCUCCUCUCCUCCCUUUCUGCAUCCUUUGAUUUUCUCUGUCCCCUAUCCUCCAGGCCGGCUCGGUCCUCCCCUCCUGCUCCGUGGCUCGACGACUCACUACGAGCUCACAGAACAGGGCUCCGGGCAGCCGAGCGGAAAUGGAGGAAAACUCGCCUCCCUGCGGACCUGGCAUCCUUUCACUCACUCCUCUCUACAUUCUCCUCUUCUGUCUCUGCUGCUAAAGCCACUUUCUACCACUCUAAAUUCCAAGCAUCUGCCUCUAACCCUAGGAAGCUCUUUGCUACCUUCUCCUCCCUCCUGAAUCCUCCUCCCCCUCCCCCCCCCCCCCCCCCCCUCUCCGGAUGA
rnacentral:lncRNA from 8 species